AUUGAACGCUGGCGGCAUGCCUUACACAUGCAAGUCGAACGGCAGCACGGGGCAACCUGGUGGCGAGUGGCGAACGGGUGAGUAAUGCAUCGGAACGUGCCAUUGAGUGGGGGAUAACGUAGCGAAAGUUGCGCUAAUACCGCAUAUUCUGUGAGCAGGAAAGCAGGGGACCGCAAGGCCUUGCGCUCUUUGAGCGGCCGAUGUCAGAUUAGCUAGUUGGUGAGGUAACGGCUUACCAAGGCGACGAUCUGUAGCGGGUCUGAGAGGAUGAUCCGCCGCACUGGGACUGAGACACGGCCCAGACUCCUACGGGAGGUAGCAGUGGGGAAUUUUGGACAAUGGGCGCAAGCCUGAUCCAGCCAUGCCGCGUGAGUGAAGAAGGCCUCGG
rnacentral:rRNA from 1 species